rnacentral:rRNA from 1 species
AACGUAGGUGGCGAGCGUUAUCCGGAUUUACUGGGCGUAAAGCGCUUGUAGGUGGUUUUGUAAGUUGGGCGUGAAAUCUCCGGGCUUAACUCGGAAAGGUCAACUGAUACUGUGCGACUAGAGUGCGGAAGGGGCAACUGGAAUUCUCGGUGUAGCGGUGAAAUGCGUAGAUAUCGAGAGGAACACCUGCGGCGAAGGCGGGUUGCUGGGCCGACACUGACGCUGAUGCGCGAAAGCUAGGGGAGCGAACGGG